rnacentral:rRNA from 1 species
CCUACGGGAGGCUGCAGUGAGGAAUAUUGGUCAAUGGACGCGAGCCUGAACCAGCCAAGUAGCGUGAAGGAUGACUGCCCUAUGGGUUGUAAACUUCUUUUAUAUGGGAAUAAAGUGGGGCAUGUAUACCCUUUUGUAUGUACUUUAUGAAUAAGGAUCGGCUAACUCCGUGCCAGCAGCCGCGGUAAUACGGAGGAUCCGAGCGUUAUCCGGAUUUAUUGGGUUUAAAGGGAGCGUAGAUGGGUUGUUAAGUCAGUUGUGAAAGUUUGCGGCUCAACCGUAAAAUUGCAAUUGAGACUGGCAGUCUUGAGUACAGUUGAGGUAGGCGGAAUUCGUGGUGUAGCGGUGAAAUGCUUAGAUAUCACGAAGAACUCCGAUUGCGAAGGCAGCUCACUAAACUGCAACUGACACUGAUGCUCGAAAGUGUGGGUAUCAAACAGGAUUAGAUACCCGUGUAGUC